UACGUAGGGUGCAAGCGUUGUCCGGAAUUAUUGGGCGUAAAGAGCUCGUAGGCGGUUUGUCGCGUCUGCUGUGAAAACUCAGGGCUUAACUCUGAGCUUGCAGUGGGUACGGGCAGACUAGAGUGCGGUAGGGGAGACUGGAAUUCCUGGUGUAGCGGUGAAAUGCGUAGAUAUCAGGAGGAAUACCGGUGGUGUAGACGGCUCUCUGGACCGCCACUGACGCUGAGACACGAAAGCGUGGGUAGCAAACAGG
rnacentral:rRNA from 1 species